rnacentral:rRNA from 1 species
AAUCAACGCUGGCGGCGUGCCUCAGACAUGCAAGUCGAACGCGAAAGGCCCCUUCGGGGGCCCGGUAGAGUGGCGCACGGGUGAGUAACACGUAGGUAAUUUGCCUUCGGGUGGGGAAUAACAGCCGGAAACGGCUGCUAAUACCGCAUAAUGCAGCGGCUCGACAUCGAGACAGUUGUUAAAGCGGGGGAUCGCAAGACCUCGCGCCUGAAGAGAAGCCUGCGGCAGAUAGCUUGUUGGUGAGGUAAUGGCUCACCAAGGCGACGAUCUGUAACCGGCCUGAGAGGGCGGUCGGUCACACUGACACUGACAUAC